rnacentral:rRNA from 1 species
UACGUGAGGGUGCAAGCGUUUGUCCGGAAUUAUUGGGCGUAAAGAGCUCGUAGGCGGUCUGUCGCGUCUGCUGUGAAAACUCGGGGCUUAACCCCGGGCCUGCAGUGGGUACGGGCAGACUAGAGUGCGGUAGGGGAGACUGGAAUUCCUGGUGUAGCGGUGAAAUGCGCAGAUAUCAGGAGGAACACCGGUGGCGAAGGCGGGUCUCUGGGCCGUAACUGACGCGUGAGGUGCGAAAGCCAGGGGAGGCAAACGGG